GCUUUCAAGAGUGUAGGCUUUGCCUGCUAUCUCUUACCCAUGUCUUUUGAGUACCUUACGUUUCCUCGGCGGGUCCGCCCGCCGAUUGGACAAUUUAAACCAUUUGCAGUUGCAAUCAGCGUCUGAAAAAACUUAAUAGUUACAACUUUCAACAACGGAUCUCUUGGUUCUGGCAUCGAUGAAGAACGCAGCGAAAUGCGAUAAGUAGUGUGAAUUGCAGAAUUCAGUGAAUCAUCGAAUCUUUGAACGCACAUUGCGCCCCUUGGUAUUCCAUGGGGCAUGCCUGUUCGAGCGUCAUUUGUACCUUCAAGCUCUGCUUGGUGUUGGGUGUUUGUCUCGCCUCUGCGUGUAGACUCGCCUCAAAACAAUUGGCAGCCGGCGUAUUGAUUUCGGAGCGCAGUACAUCUCGCGCUUUGCACUCAUAACGACGACGUCCAAAAGUACAUUUUUACACUCUUGACCUCGGAUCAGGUAGGGAUACCCGCUGAACUUAAGCAUAUCAAUAAGCGGAGGA
rnacentral:rRNA from 1 species